GACGAACGCUGACGGCGCGCCUAACACAUGCAAGUCGAACGAGUGGAGUUCCUUCGGGAACAAAGCUAGUGGCGGACGGGUGAGUAACACGUGAGGAACCUGCCUUUCAGAGUGGGAUACCGUUUGGAAACGAACGUUAAUACCGCAUAAUGUAUAUUGAUCGCAUGGUCGAUAUACCAAAGAUUUAUCGCUGAGAGAUGGCCUCGCGUCUGAUUAGCUAGUUGGUAGGGUAACGGCCUACCAAGGCGACGAUCAGUAGCCGGACUGAGAGGUUGACCGGCCACAUUGGGACUGAGAUACGGCCCAG
rnacentral:rRNA from 1 species